GACGAACGCUGGCGGCGUGCUUAACACAUGCAAGUCGAACGGUAAGGCUCCAGCUUGCUGGGGUACACGAGUGGCGAACGGGUGAGUAACACGUGGGUGACCUGCCCUGCACUUCGGGAUAAGCCUUGGAAACUGGGUCUAAUACCGGAUAGGACCAUGGUGUGGAUACUGUGGUGGAAAGUUUUUUCGGUGUGGGAUGGGCCCGCGGCCUAUCAGCUUGUUGGUGGGGUAAUGGCCUACCAAGGCGGCGACGGGUAGCCGGCCUGAGAGGGUGGACGGCCACAUUGGGACUGAGACACGGCCCAGACUCCUACGGGAGGCAGCAGUGGGGAAUAUUGCACAAUGGGCGGAAGCCUGAUGCAGCGACGCCGCGUGGGGGAUGACGGCCUUCGGGUUGUAAACUCCUUUCACCAUCGACGAAGGGUUUCUGACGGUAGAUGGAGAAGAAGCACCGGCUAACUACGUG
rnacentral:rRNA from 1 species